UAGCAUGUCUCCAAGGACUGUGGCUGCUUGUAGUCAUGGGAUCUCCAACUGCACGCCAGAGUAAUGGAGAGACUUUGAUAGCCCAGGUCAUCACAAGGACUGCAGCUGCCACUCAGCUUUCCUAUAGAU